rnacentral:rRNA from 1 species
UUACUGAGUGAGGGCUCACGCCCGACCUCCAACCCUUUGUGAACACAUCUUGUUGCUUCGGGGGCGACCCUGCCGGCACUACGUCGCCGGGCGCCCCCGAAGGUCUCCAAACACUGCAUCUUUGCGUCGGAGUUUAAACAAAUUAAACAAAACUUUCAACAACGGAUCUCUUGGUUCUGGCAUCGAUGAAGAACGCAGCGAAAUGCGAUAAGUAAUGUGAAUUGCAGAAUUCAGUGAAUCAUCGAAUCUUUGAACGCACAUUGCGCCCUUUGGUAUUCCGAAGGGCAUGCCUGUUCGAGCGUCAUUUCACCACUCAAGCCUGGCUUGGUAUUGGGCGUCGCGGCUCCGCGCGCCUUAAAGUCUCCGGCUGAGCCAUUCGUCUCUAAGCGUUGUGGAUUUUCUAAUUCGCUUCGGAGUGCGGGUGGCCGCGGCCGUUAAAUCUUUACUCAAGGUUGACCUCGGAUCAGGUAGGGAUACCCGCUGAACUUAAGCAUAUCAAUAAGCGGAGGAAAAGAAACCAACAGGGAUUGCCCUAGUAACGGCGAGUGAAGCGGCAACAGCUCAAAUUUGAAAUCUGGCGCAAGCCCGAGUUGUAAUUUG